AUAAUUUAAAAUAAAACUUCAGGAAUUUUUUUCAUGAUCUGUCACCUCAUCUUAGUUUAAAUGUAGUCCUUGUUUAUUUUUUCCAUUUCUCCUAGUUGGUGCAUUCAAGUUCUCACAGACUUCACCUUGUCAUGGAUGAAUAUGAAAAUAUCAUCUGAAUUUGAUCUCUAAAGUCUGAAGGAUCUUACUUUUCUUUUUCUUCCUUUUUGUAUAUGUGUUUUUCUGAAUGGGAGUGGGAGACAUCAGCUAGAUAUCUUUCUUAGUUCUCACUAGGUGUGAUAGUAGAGAGAAUGAACUUAACAUCCCCAUCUGUGACAUAUGUCCAUUGAAUCUAGUUCGGAAGAUGCAAGAAUGGUUGCUUCCCAUUAUGGAUUUGAAAGGGAGAAGGAUAAAACAUUUGUGACGAUAUACACUGCAAAUCUUCACUGUAUGAUGCAAAACUGAUAGUGUGCUGACUUCUGGACGAUGAAGAAACGCUGAUGACCAGAGUCGAUUCCUCCAUGGUAGGAAGUGUUCCCUUUGGCGUUUGGUUCCAGAAUUGUUCCAUUAGCUAAGGUGAUUCACACUUA